AACUACUUAAUCUACGUUUUAAAAUACCCAACACUAAAAACUAUUCAAAACUUAAUUAUAUAAUUAUAUUCUAUCCCAAAACUCCUAAAUAUACCAAAACUUCAUAACAAAUUACGACGAUACUUUAAAAAACAAUCCAUCUCAUCAAAUAAAAAAACUCCCCAAAUACAACUAUUCCCUCCGACUCACUAAAAUCAAAAAAAUCCUCUAUUA
rnacentral:misc_RNA from 1 species